AUACGUAGGUGGCAAGCGUUGUCCGGAUUUACUGGGUGUAAAGGGCGUGUAGGCGGGAGAUCAAGUCAGAUGUGAAAUACCGGGGCUCAACCCCGGGGCUGCAUUUGAAACUGAUUUUCUUGAGUGCUGGAGAGGAAAGCGGAAUUCCUAGUGUAGCGGUGAAAUGCGUAGAGAUUAGGAAGAACACCAGUGGCGAAGGCGCUUCUCUGGACUGUAACUGACGCUGAGGCUCGAAAGCGUGGGGAGC
rnacentral:rRNA from 1 species